AAGAUAGAACAAUCAGUACAGUUUUAUUGUUCUAUGCAAUGCCAUUUGUAAAAUAUACACUAUUAUAGGAGACGGCUUGGUAACCCCAAGAGAAGUUCCGUGACGGAGAAGGACGCAAGAUUCAACAAGUAGGACGCAUAAUCCUCCUAAUAUGAUUUUAUAUGUCAAGUGUAGUUUGUAACCAGCUGAUCUAGCUCAGCUUUAAAUAAAUAGAACCUGAAGUGCAUGGAAGAUCUCCCUGCAUAAAUAUUUAUACUAUGCUCCACGGAUCGUGUUUAUUCUAAAUCCGACACAGAUCGCUAGGUGUGAGUGAUCCUGAUCUCUAUAGGUUGUUGUACAUAAAAUGAUCCUACUACUACCUUGAAUUAUAAAAAGAACAAUUACUCUGAGGUUCAAUAAAUCUUUAGCACGUCCCUGAGACAUGUGCAACACAUUAAGUGAGAGAUAAGAGUUAAAUGAAAAUACAUUAACAAACUAAGGGUGCAAAUCCACAAGUCCCACAUCAUUUAUAGGCGAAAUAACACUAAACAUAUUUGAAAGUUAAAGUGAAGUAAAAAGUUCCCUUGGGUCAGAAGUUGCAAAACUUAUAUUUCAUUAUGUGACAUAAGAUAUUUUAGGGAUUGGAAUUAAAAACAAGAGUUUAGAAUAAAACCCUAAAAAAAAG